GUGCCAGCCGCCGCGGUAAUACCGGCAGCCCGAGUGAUGGCCGAUCUUAUUGGGCCUAAAGCGUCCGUAGCUGGCCGACCAAGUCUCCCGGGAAAUCCACCCGCCCAACGGGUGGGCGUCCGGUAGAAACUGGCCGGCUUGGAACCGGAAGGCUCAGAGAGUACGUCCGGGGUAGGAGUGAAAUCCCGUAAUCCUGGACGGACCGCCGAUGGCGAAAGCACGUCGCGAAGACGGAUCCGACAGUGAGGGACGAAAGCUAGGGUCUCGAACCGGAUUAGAAACCCUUGUAGUCC
rnacentral:rRNA from 1 species